GUCACUUCCGCUUUGUUCCGACCACAGUAGUCGAAAGGAACAACGGACCGGAGGAAAGGUACACCCAGAGGAGGCGUCUCCUAGGUGACGCCCGGAGGUGUCUCCCGGGUGAUUCCAGAUCCAGUCAAGACGACAGUGAAGGUGAAACAUCAUUUUCACCGUGUGGUGACGGAGCCAGGAGGCCCCCCCUGGAGGGAAGCAGUUGCUGGUGUCAUGCUCUUGCACCUCCAAAGGAGUCUAAACUCCAUGGUAACAUCGUUCAAGGCGCUUCUUCAGCAUCCACUUCCACAUUGGACUAUAAGCAGCAUGCGAGGAACAUCUGACAUUCAUCCUGAUUUGCCCAGGCCUGAACAAAGUGAUGGAAUACCGGUACUGACACUCUUCUGAUCCCGCAUCUGCGGACAGGGGCUCUCAGUGAGCGAUCCCCAACUAUCCCAUUGCUGUCCCUGAGAAGUAGAGGAAAUGGAGACCUUCCCCUGUGCUCAUGAAAUAAGUAAUGCAGUACGUUUUUCCACAGUUUUGUCUUCUCUCCAGUUAAGCUCUUUGACCUGGGUCCUCAUAAACUAAUUGAUCUUCCAUUUUAGCAAAGAAGUGCUAAUCCAAUAUUAGUAAUAAAAAUUUUUUUUUGAAAAUAGCUAAGCACAUACAAUUUGAGACGUAGGUUUCCUCUCUGCAUGUGUGUGGACCCGUGUCUGUAAUAUAUUUUUACUGUAGGGUUUCUAUGUCGCACAGACUUGUCCCACACAUAUGGCUUGAAGCCACAGUCCCAGCUCUGCCUCCCAAGAAGCUGCCAUGCCCAGAUUGCGAUGUAUUUUGAAUGUUACGUAUAGGGGGCUGGAGUGACGGUGACUCAGCAGUUAGCAUUGGCUGUCGCUUCCCGAGGACCCAGGCUCAUCCCAGCACCCAAAUGACAGUUCAAAACGAUCUAUAA